rnacentral:tRNA from 1 species
AAAUUUAGGAUAUUACCCUUUAAACCAGGGGCCUUCAAAGCCCAAAAAAAGAGACCAUCACCCUCUUAAUUUCU